AACGAACGCUGGCGGCAGGCUUAACACAUGCAAGUCGAGCGCCCCGCAAGGGGAGCGGCAGACGGGUGAGUAACACGUGGGGAUCUGCCCAAUGGUACGGAAUAGCUCCGGGAAACUGGAAAUAAUACCGUAUGUGCCCGCAAGGGGAAAGAUUUAUCGCCAUUGGAUGAACCCGCGUCGGAUUAGCUAGUUGGUGAGGUAAAGGCUCACCAAGGCGACGAUCCGUAGCUGGUCUGAGAGGAUGAUCAGCCACACUGGGACUGAGACACGGCCCAGACUCCUACGGGAGGCAGCAGUGGGGAAUAUUGGACAAUGAGCGCAAGCCUGAUCCAGCCAUGCCGCGUGAGUGAUGAAGGCCUUAGGGUUGUAAAGCUCUUUCGCCGACGAAGAUAAUGACGGUAGUCGGAGAAGAAGCCCCGGCUAACUUCGUGCCAGCCGCCGCAGUAAGAC
rnacentral:rRNA from 1 species